rnacentral:rRNA from 1 species
CAACGAAUCUUCCCCAAUGGGCGAAAGCCUGAGGGAGCGACGCCGCGUGAAGGACGAAGUUCUUCGGAAUGUAAACUUCUGUAAGGAUCAUGAAAGCCGAGGACCUAAUACGUCUAGAGGUUGAUCUGGUCCCUAAAAGGGGCGGCUAACUCUGUGCCAGCAGCCGCGGUAAUACAGAGGCCCCAAGCGUUACUGAGAAUCACUGGGUUUAAAGGGUGCGUAGGUGGCGCGUUAAGUCCGUUGUGAAAUCCCUUGGCUCAACCAAGGAAAUGCUUCGGAUACUGGCGUGCUUGAGGCUAGUAUGGGUCACUGGAACUGACGGUGGAGCGGUGAAAUGCGUAGAUAUCGUCAGGAACGCCAAUGGUGAAGACAGGUGACUGGGCUAGAUCUGACACUGAGGCACGAAAGCGUGGGGAGCGAACGGGAUUAGAUACCCCCGUAGUCC